CAUGCAGUCGAACGGUGACGAUGGGGGCUUGCUCUUGUCUGAUCAGUGGCGAACGGGUGAGUAACACGUGAGUAACCUGCCCCAGACUCUGGGAUAACCCCGGGAAACCGGAGCUAAUACCGGAUAUGACACCAACGGGCAUCCGUAUGGUGUGGAAAGUUUUUCGGUCUGGGAUGGACUCGCGGCCUAUCAGCUUGUUGGUGAGGUAGUGGCUCACCAAGGCGACGACGGGUAGCCGGCCUGAGAGGGCGACCGGCCACACUGGGACUGAGACACGGCCCAGACUCCUACGGGAGGCAGCAGUGGGGAAUAUUGCACAAUGGGCGGAAGCCUGAUGCAGCGACGCCGCGUGAGGGAUGACGGCCUUCGGGUUGUAAACCUCUUUCAGCAGGGAAGAAGCGCAAGUGACGGUACCUGCAGAAGAAGCACCGGCUAACUACGUGCCAGCAGCCGCGGUAAUACGUAGGGUGCGAGCGUUGUCCGGAAUUAUUGGGCGUAAAGAGCUUGUAGGUGGUUUGUCGCGUCUGCUGUGAAAAUCCGAGGCUCAACCUCGGACUUGCAGUGGGUACGGGCAGACUAGAGUGUGGUAGGGGAGACUGGAAUUCCUGGUGUAGCGGUGGAAUGCGCAGAUAUCAGGAGGAACACCGAUGGCGAAGGCAGGUCUCUGGGCCAUUACUGA
rnacentral:rRNA from 1 species